UACAGAGGGUGCGAGCGUUGUUCGGAAUUAUUGGGCGUAAAGGGCGCGUAGGCGGCGCCACAAGUCACCUGUGAAAACUCUGGGCUUAACUCAGAGCCUGCAGGCGAAACUGUGGUGCUGGAGUAUGGGAGAGGUGCGUGGAAUUCCCGGUGUAGCGGUGAAAUGCGUAGAUAUCAGGAGGAAUACCGAUGGCGAAGGCAGGUCUCUGGGCUGACACUGGCGCUCAUGCACGAAAGCGUGGGGAGCAAACAGG
rnacentral:rRNA from 1 species